AUUGAACGCUGGCGGCAGGCCUAACACAUGCAAGUCGAGCGGAUGAAGGGAGCUUGCUCCUGGAUUCAGCGGCGGACGGGUGAGUAAUGCCUAGGAAUCUGCCUGGUAGUGGGGGAUAACGUCCGGAAACGGGCGCUAAUACCGCAUACGUCCUGAGGGAGAAAGUGGGGGAUCUUCGGACCUCACGCUAUCAGAUGAGCCUAGGUCGGAUUAGCUAGUUGGUGGGGUAAAGGCCUACCAAGGCGACGAUCCGUAACUGGUCUGAGAGGAUGUUCAGUCACACUGGAACUGAGACACGGUCCAGACUCCUACGGGAGGCAGCAGUGGGGAAUAUUGGACAAUGGGCGAAAGCCUGAUCCAGCCAUGCCGCGUGUGUGAAGAAGGUCUUCGGAUUGUAAAGCACUUUAAGUAGGGAGGAAGGGCAGUAAGUUAAUACCUUGCUGUUUUGACGUUACCAACAGAAUAAGCACCGGCUAACUUCGUG
rnacentral:rRNA from 1 species